rnacentral:rRNA from 1 species
CGUCUAUAUACGUAUAGCAUAUCAAUAAGCGGAGGAAAAGAAACUAACUAGGAUUCCCUCAGUAACGGCGAGUGAAGCGGGAAGAGCUCAAAUUUGAAAUCUUCAAGGUUCUACCUUGACGAAUUGUAGUUUAAAGAAGUGUUUUCUGUUGGAGUUUUGGUAAAAGUUCUUUGGAAUAGGACAUCAUAGAGGGUGAGAAUCCCGUAUUUGACCAUUACUUUCCAACUUUGUGAUACACUUUCAAAGAGUCGGAUUGUUUGGGAAUGCAGUCCAAAGUGGGUGGUAAAUUUCAUCUAAAGCUAAAUACUGGCGAGAGACCGAUAGCGAACAAGUACCGUGAGGGAAAGAUGAAAAGAACUUUGAAAAGAGAGUUAAACAGUACGUGAAAUUGUCAAAAGGGAAGCGUUUGACACCAGUGUUGUUUUCUCGAAAAUCAAUUAAAAAUGAGUGGGAUUUUGUGUUGUAUUGACUUUAUCAGCUUUCUGCACUCUUUUCUUGUCUUUUUUAAUGCACUUUUCGUUUAACAAGUCAACAUCAAUUUCUUUUGUUGUAAAAGGGUCAUUGGAAGGUGGCUUUCUUUUCGGAGAAAGUGUUUAUAGCCUUUGACUUCUGCAAUCGGAGAGAUUGAGGUCUGCAGCGUAGAUCCUUCGGGGUUAGAUAGCAUUUGUGCUAAGUUAUAGCCUUUCAUAGACAACUUGUUGACUAUGAUCAGUCAUGUAGCUUACUCGCUUAUGCUAUUUUACCUACGCUUAGGAUGUUGACGAUCAGCUGAGCGCG